rnacentral:rRNA from 1 species
AAUACCCGGAGCCGAAGCGAAAGCGAGUCCGAAUAGGGCGCCUAUGUCGCUGGGAUUAGACCCGAAACCGGGUGAGCUAUCCAUGAGCAGGUUGAAGGUAGCCGAAAGGCUACUGGAGGACCGAACCAGUGGGUGUCACAAGACCUUUGGAUGACUUGUGGAUAGGAGUGAAAAGCUCAUCGAACCCGGAGAUAGCUGGUUCUCCUCGAAAUGCCUUUAGGGGCAGCCUCGUUCUGCACGACAGGGGGUAGAGCUACGGUCUGGAUGCGGGGGUCUCCUCGACCUACCAACUCCAGACAAACUCCGAAUACCUGUCUUUUGAGAACGGGAGUGAGACGGUGACAGCGAACUGCCAUCGUCACAAGGGAAAUAGCCCAGACCAUUCGCUAAGGUCCCCAAAUUGUAGUUCAGUGGUAAAGGAAGUGUCAGUGCUUCAACAACCAGGAAGUUGGCUUAGAAGCAGCCAUCUUUUAAAGAAAGCGUAACAGCUCACUGGUCGAUGCACCGAUGCGCCGAAAAUUUACGGGGCGAAACUACAUACCGAAGCGGUGGAUGCGUAAUCAUUCCGAUUAUGCGUGGUAGAGGAGCGUUCCCAGCAGCUGCGAAGCCGAGCCGCGAGGCCAGGUGGAGCGCUGGGAAGCGAGAAUGUUGGCAUGAGUAACUACUAGGCAAGCGAAAAACUUGCCCGCCGAAUUCCCAAGGUUUCCCACGAAAUGGUCAUCAGCGUGGGGUUAGUCGAUCCUAAGGCCAGGCCGAAAGGCGUAACCGAUGGACAUCAGGUUAAUAUUCCUGAACUUCAGGCGAAUCGCCCAUUGUCGUAUAUUGAUAGCCUGGACGGCCUCUACUCCCGCAAGGGAGCAUGUCAUCCGGGAAGGAUACGUACGAUGAAGAUGCGGUGUGACGGAGCGGGAAGAUCAGAGCGUCCGCAUUGACUGGACGUGGAAGGCACGAGGCGUUGAUUCCGGGAGGCAAAUCCCUCGGAUGAGCUGAGUGUUUAUCCCAAUUACCCGUCGCAAGACGGCUGCGUCUGUCCCUUUCUACUUCCAAGAAAACCAUCGCACUCGAGAGUCGCAUGAAAUCGUACCGCAAACCAACACCGGUGGGAUGGUCGAGUAGACCAAGGCGAACGGGUCACUUUGCGUUAAGGAACUCGGCAAUAAAGCGUCCGUAACUUCGGGAUAAGGACUGCCAGUCGCAAGACUGGCCGCAGCGAAAGAGCUCAGGCGACUGUUUACCAAAAACACAGGUCCCUGCAAAGCCGUAAGGCAACGUAUAGGGGCUGAUGCCUGCCCAGUGUCAGCAGGUCACGGAAGGGGGUUUACGCCCUCAACCUAAGCCCUGAUGAACGGCGGCCGUAACAAUAACGGUCCUAAGGUAGCGAAAUUCCUUGUCGGGUAAGUUCCGACCCGCACGAAUGGUAUAACGAUCUGAGCACUGUCUCGACGCAAAGCCCGGUGAAAUUUCAUUGACGGUGCAAAUGCCGUCUUGAUCACGGAAGGACGAAAAGACCCUAUGAAGCUUUACUAUACGCUGACAUUGCAUUGUUCGUAGCGUGCGCAGGAUAGGUGGGACCCUUUGAUGCUUGGGCUUAGGCUUGGGCGGAGGGGCCGCUA